UACGUAGGGGGCGAGCGUUAUCCAGAUUUACUGGGCGUAAAGCGCGUGUAGGCGGACUGGUGUGUCGGAUGUGAAAUCCCCAGGCUCAACCUGGGAACUGCAUUCGAAACUGCCAGCCUUGAGUGGUGGAGAGGGAAGUGGAAUUCCUGGUGUAGAGGUGAAAUUCGUAGAUAUCAGGAGGAACACCAGUGGCGAAGGCGGCUUCCUGGACACCAACUGACGCUGAGACGCGAAAGCGUGGGGAGCAAACAGG
rnacentral:rRNA from 1 species